rnacentral:rRNA from 1 species
GACGAACGCUGGCGGCGUGCUUAACACAUGCAAGUCGAACGGAAAGGCCCUGCUUUUGUGGGGUGCUCGAGUGGCGAACGGGUGAGUGACACGUGAGUGACCUGCCCUUGACUUUGGGAUAACUUCUGGAAACUGGGGCUAUUACCGGAUAGGAGCUCCUGAUGCAUGGUGGGGGUUGGUAAGUUUCGGCGGUUGGGGAUGGACGCGCGGUUUAUCAGCUUGUUGGUGGGGUAGUGGCUUACCAAGGCUUUGACGGGUAGCCGGCCUGAGAGGGUGACCGGCCACAUUGGGACUGAGAUACGGCCCAGACUCCUACGGGAGGCAGCAGUGGGGAAUGUUGCACAAUGGGCGGAAGCCUGAUGCAGCAACGCCGCGUGCGGGAUGACGGCCUUCGGGUUGUAAACCGCUUGCGCCUGUGACGAAGCGUGAGUGACGGUAAUGGGUAAAGAAGCACCGGCUAACUACGUG